UGAAGAGCAAUGGACGGUGAGAACAUCCUGCCAGUGGGGUUUUGGGUCGCUCUCGCUCCACCACUCUGCCUCUUUCUGUCACUCCCCCACAUUGUUUAUGGGGAAGUGACCUAUCUACCAUAUGGCUUUCAAUUCCUGCCAAAAAAGCACUUUGGCGGUAGAUAAAGAGGACAGUGUACCCAAGAGCAGAAUGUAAAUUUGAGGUUAUGACAUAUUAGCCAUUUUACAAGCAGCAAGAAUCACAUUAUUUGGAUGAAGAGUAGACUGAGGUAUGGAUUUUGAAUGAGAUUAAACCCGUGCAUUAAUUCAUUGUUAGUUUUGCUUCAAGUCAUCUUUGCUUCUAGCAUUUGCGUUGGAGUCAAUCAGAAUGGAGGGCAGCUGAAGAUUCCUCAGGAGGCAGCUAGGAAUCUCAUGGCAGGCAGGAUGUACCGAAGCACCAAGGAGCCAAACCCAAACCCUCAGCUCCUACAGAGUCAUCACACCAGCACUUUAUUUACAUCUCAGUCACAGUGGAGAGACAGUGUGAAAAAGACGCAGCCAGCACCGAUUUAUGAAGGGCCGAGUUUGUUACCGUGUCUUUGGAGACAUCUGGAGAGACUCCUUUGGAAGUUUUACUUGGACUCGCCUAGUGUUGAAUAUCCUGCACACAACUGCCUUUCACAGCGGGCCGGAGGAGGCCGGCAGCAAGCAGCACCACGCACAGCAAAAUGCCCGUCGGCACGCGCAGAGCAGGAAGGCUCAUGCCUGACGGCCACUUGUGCUUUUCAGGCACUUAAGCUCUAAUUUGACAACCACUAUUAAUAAUUAGAAUUUAACAAAAAAAGUUCAAUAGGAAUAAUAAUAAUAAUAUCCAUCCAUAUUCUAUCCUCUAAUCCUUAUUAAGAUCACAGGGGGCCUGGAUCCUAUCCAGGGGCAAACCUUAAUAAAUAAUAAUAAUAAUAAUAAUAAUAAUAAUCAUAAUCGAGUGAAAAUAAUCCAGUUCUGAAAAGCAAUAAUUUAUGAAUAUACCAGUUAUGUGUACAUAACUUCCCUUUUGCACAUUGAUGCAUUAGCUAUAAUAGCUAUAAUUAGCUAUAAUAAUUUUCAGCUUAAUCAACAAUUAACAUACAGAAUAUACAAUUUGUGCAUUUUAUGUGAGUUAUCUUCCCUUUGAGAGCUUUUACCAUAACAAAAGGAAUAAGACAACAAGUGACAGACCUUGCCAAUCAAAUCAAAUUCAAUCAAAUCAAAAUAGCUAAUUAACAUUUCAGGUUCUGGAAUGGUGGCUUGAUUGGCAAUCAAGCCACCAUUCCAGAACCUGAAAUGUCAAUUAGCUAUUUUUUUCAUAUAUUUUCAUUCCCCUGCAGGACUGAAAUAUAA